rnacentral:rRNA from 1 species
GACGAACGCUGGCGGCGUGCCUAAUACAUGCAAGUAGAACGCUGAAGGAGGAGCUUGCUUCUCUGGAUGAGUUGCGAACGGGUGAGUAACGCGUAGGUAACCUGCCUGGUAGCGGGGGAUAACUAUUGGAAACGAUAGCUAAUACCGCAUAAUAGUAGAUGUUGCAUGACAUUUGCUUAAAAGGUGCAAUUGCAUCACUACCAGAUGGACCUGCGUUGUAUUAGCUAGUUGGUGGGGUAACGGCUCACCAAGGCGACGAUACAUAGCCGACCUGAGAGGGUGAUCGGCCACACUGGGACUGAGACACGGCCCAGACUCCUACGGGAGGCAGCAGUAGGGAAUCUUUGGCAAUGGACGGAAGUCUGACCGAGCAACGCCGCGUGAGUGAAGAAGGUUUUCGGAUCGUAAAGCUCUGUUGUAAGAGAAGAACGAGUGUGAGAGUGGAAAGUUCACACUGUGACGGUAUCUUACCAGAAAGGGACGGCUAACUACGUG